UCCGGUUUGUCACCGGCAGUCUCGCAUGAGUCCCCAACUAAAUGCUGGCAACAUGCGACGGGGGUUGCGCUCGUUGCGGGACUUAACCCAACAUCUCACGACACGAGCUGACGACAGCCAUGCAGCACCUGUGUUACGGCUCCCUUUCGGGCACCCCUCCAUCUCUGGAGGGUUCCGUACAUGUCAAGGGUAGGUAAGGUUUUUCGCGUUGCAUCGAAUUAAUCCACAUAAUCCACCGCUUGUGCGGGCCCCCGUCAAUUCCUUUAAGUUUUAGUCUUGCGACCGUACUCCCCAGGCGGAUCACUUAACGCGUUAGCUACGACACCAAUCCGGCAAAGCCAGACUGACGUCUAGUGAUCAUCGUUUACGGCGUGGACUAC
rnacentral:misc_RNA from 1 species